GGGGUUGUGGCUCAGUGGUAGAGUGCUAGCCUAGCACAUGCACAUGCAAGGCGCUGAGUUCGAUCCUCAGUACCA
rnacentral:tRNA from 1 species